CCCUUAGAUGUUCUGGGCCGCACGCGUGCUACACUGAUGCAUUCAACGAGUCUAAAACCUGGUCUGAUAGGACUGGGUAAUCUUUUGAAAGUGCAUCGUGAUUGGGAUAGAUGAUUGCAAUUCUUCAUCUUCAACGAGGAAUGCCUAGUAAACGCAAGUCAUCAGCUUGCAUUGAUUACGUCCCUGCCCUUUGUACACACCGCCCGUCGCUCCUACCGAUUGAAUGAUCCGAUGAAUACCAUGGAUUGAGAGUACGAAUAGGUUCGCUUAUUUCUGCUGCUCGAGAAGUGGAGUAAAUCUUAUCAUUUAGAGGAAGGAGAAGUCGUAACA
rnacentral:rRNA from 1 species